rnacentral:rRNA from 1 species
CCUACGGGUGGCUGCAGUGAGGAAUAUUGGUCAAUGGGCGCGAGCCUGAACCAGCCAAGUAGCGUGAAGGAUGACUGCCCUACGGGUUGUAAACCUCUUUUAUAAAGGAAUAAAGUGAGGCACGCGUGCCUUUUUGUAUGUACUUUAUGAAUAAGCAUCGGCUAACUCCGUGCCAGCAGCCGCGGUAAUACGGAGGAUCCGAGCGUUAUCCGGAUUUAUUGGGUUUAAAGGGAGCGUAGAUGGGUUGUUAAGUCAGUUGUGAAAGUUUGCGGCUCAACCGUAAAAUUGCAAUUGAUACUGGCAGGCUUGAGUACAGUUAAGGUAGGCGGAAUUCGUGGUGUAGCGGUGAAAUGCUUAGAUAUCACGAAGAACUCCGAUUGCGAAGGCAGCUUACUAAACUGCCACUGACAUUGAUGCUCGAAAGUGUGGGUAUCGAACAGGAUUAGAUACCCGAGUAGUC